rnacentral:rRNA from 1 species
CUGCCCGGGAACGUUGUGAGAAGUCCACUGAACCUUAUCAUUUAGAGGAAGGAGAAGUCGUAACAAGGUUUCCGUAGGUGAACCUGCGGAAGGAUCAUUG